GUUUGAUCAUCAUAUGAUAGUGAAUACAGGAUGUCAUAAUUUAUAUCACCUAAUUUGUAUAUAAUUAUGUCUUGACUAUAGGAUGUAAUAAUUUCAACACAUGAUAUUAAAAUUAAUUUAUGAUAUUCUGAGUAAAAAUUAUAUUAUUGUAGGUUAAAAUUAUGACAUCCAAUACAGUAAAUAUUUUUGAAUAUAAAAUUAUGAUAUCUUAAAUCAAAUUAUAAUAUUUUAUAUCAAAAUUAUAACAUCCAGCAU
rnacentral:lncRNA from 1 species